UACCAGCACCCCGAGUGGUCGGGACGAUUAUUGGGCCUAAAGCAUCCGUAGCCGGUUCUGCAAGUCCCCCGUUAAAUCCAGCUGCUCAACAGAUGGGCCGCGGAGGAUACUACAGAGCUAGGAGGCAGGAGAGGCAAGCGGUACUCAGUGGGUAGGGGUAAAAUCCGUUGAUCCAUUGAAGACCACCAGUGGCGAAGGCGGCUUGCCAGAAUGCGCUCGACGGUGAGGGAUGAAAGCUGGGGGAGCAAACCGGG
rnacentral:rRNA from 1 species